rnacentral:lncRNA from 1 species
AAUCGCCAUUGCACACAUACAAGCAUUUCCAGGUUCUGUCUCUGAUGGGGACUGUUGAAGAGCCAAGACUCAGAGCACUGGAUGGCAAUCCGUGUGUCCCUAUUAGGGUCCUCCUUGUUACCUAGCUGGAGCUGUGGACUGUGGUCUGGUUAUCCUUUGCUUUACAUAUAGAAUCCACUUAUGAGACACACACUUAAGAAUCACAGAAGAAGAAGAAGAAGAAGAAGAAGAAGAAGAAGAAGAAGAAGAAGAAGAAGAAGAAGAAGAAGAAGAAGAAGAAGAAGUACAUCCCCGAGACAACCACCAUCAGAGUCCCUGAAUAUUGGCAUUGGUUUAUCUCGUAAUUCCUACUGCAUUGUCUUCACCUCUGGAUGGUUCUGAUGAAUUUGUCAAGAAGUAGAACCAGGGAGUGAACUCCUGGAAUCCAUUCAGAGGCUCAGCCUCACCGAGAUGGAAUCUGGAUCCCCUGGUCUGUAGUAGAAGUGAGAAGUAAGGACUUUGAAAUCUGUGAUUGAAAGUCACAAUCCAAGUUGUGGACACACUUUGGGAACUUCAUAGGAAGGCAGAGUCUCGAGGAUUGGGAGUUCAAAAAAAGACCAAGGUCUCUCAGAAUGGCCUUUUGGGUCAUGUCGUAAGGUACAAACUACAAAUGAAGAUCAUUUAUUAGAAGUACUCUCUUGGCUUCAUCUUGUAAGAUAAAGAUGUCUUGAUUUAGAGACUAUCCCUUCCUGGGGAGACAGAAGCCUCUACAGUAUGGUUUCACUUAUGUUUUGCUACAUAAAACCAUUGUCACUUUUAUCUAUAUUUCUUUCUGAUAUUAGAAAUUGGAGAGAUGGUUAUUCUACUUGAAGGCACUCCAAGAUUUAUAAAUCAAUGAAUUAAUUGCGUUUGUAAUUAUAGUUGUCUGGAGUUUGGACAUAAACUCAAGGGAGAAUUUUUGUGUUUCCCACAUUUGCAGGACAUGUUCACAUCUGCUAUGAGUAUGUAUUUGUGAUGAAAAUACCCCCCACCACUAUUUUGUUUGUUUUUCAAGAUAGGGUUUGUCUGUGUAGCCCUGGCUGUCCUUGGAACUCCCUCUGUAGACCAGGGUGGCCUUGAACUCAGAAAUCUGUCUGCUCUGUCUCCUGAGUGCUGGGAUUAAGGGUGUGCACCACCAUUAUCUAGCUGAAAAUAAACACAUUUAAAUUUUUUAUAAACACAUUUUUUAAAGGAAGCCCAAAGCAUUGUUCCUUGUAUGAAACACGUUUGUGGGAUACAGUCUUUAUAGCUUUCAUCUUCUUUUGUGUUGACAUGAACUACAACUAAUGUAAGUAAAACUUUUCUGACAAUUACAAAUUUUAGGACAUUUAAAAAAUUGGAAGUCAGCUGGGCAUUGGUGGCACACGCCUUUAAUCCCAGCACUUGGGAGGCAGAGGCAGGCAGAUCUCUGUGAUUUCGAGCCAGCCCAGUCUCCAGAGCAAGU